GCCAUGAUGAUCUUUAUCUGUCAAUCAGCGGAUAGUUUAUAUGUGAAGAUUGAUUUACCUCUAAGAAGUUCUGAGCUC
rnacentral:snoRNA from 1 species